UUUUUUAGAAAUGAAUUUAAUUCAUGCGUCUUAUUUAGAGUUUUAUUAUUUGUUUAUUUAUUUUUAUUUGGCGUUAAGAUUGGGGGGGAUUAGCUUCUUAUUUUAUUUUUAUAAUUUUUUGUUUAUUUAGUCUUGUGGGUUUUAUAGUGAUUUUCAAUUUGAUUAUGUUAAAAUUUUAUUUGUUUUGUUCUUUAUUUUUAUUUAUUUAAUUAUUUAUUGAAAUGUAUUCUUUAUUUUGUUUUGGUUAGUAAUUAUUGUAGAAUUAGUAAAUUUGUUGUUAGGUUGUUUUAUUUGUGUUAAUUUUCUUUGAGGAACUAGGCAAAUUUCAUGUCCGCCUGUUUAACAAAAACAUCUUUUCUCGUUAGUUUUUGAAGUAUGGCCUGCCCACUGACUUUGGUGUUGAAGGGCCGCGGUAUUUUGACCGUGCAAAGGUAGCAUAGUCAUUAGUUCUUUAAUUGUGAUCUGGUAUGAAUGGCUUGACGAGGCAUGGGCUGUCUUAAUUUUGAAUUGUUUAUUGAAUUUGGUCUUUGAGUUAAAAUUCUUAGAUGUUUUUAUGGGACGAGAAGACCCUAUAGAGUUUAACAUUUGUUAUGGUCCCUUUCUGUUUGUGAGGGUUCACUGGGCCGUCUAAUAUGUUUUGUUGGGGUGAUGGGAGGGAUAUAAUUUAACCCCUCCUUUUUAUUAUUAUAUUUAUUUAUAUUUACUGAUCC
rnacentral:rRNA from 1 species